UGCAGUCGAGCGAACAGACGAGGAGCUUGCUCCUYUGAYGUUAGCGGCGGACGGGUGAGUAACACGUGGAUAACCUACCUAUAAGACUGGGAUAACUUCGGGAAACCGGAGCUAAUACCGGAUAACAUGUUGAACCGCAUGGUUCAACAGUGAAAGACGGUCUUGCUGUCACUUAUAGAUGGAUCCGCGCCGCAUUAGCUAGUUGGUAAGGUAACGGCUUACCAAGGCAACGAUGCGUAGCCGACCUGAGAGGGUGAUCGGCCACACUGGAACUGAGACACGGUCCAGACUCCUACGGGAGGCAGCAGUAGGGAAUCUUCCGCAAUGGGCGAAAGCCUGACGGAGCAACGCCGCGUGAGUGAAGAAGGUCUUCGGAUCGUAAAACUCUGUUAUUAGGGAAGAACAAAUGUGUAAGUAACUAUGCACGUCUUGACGGUACCUAAUCAGAAAGCCACGGCUAACUACGUGCCAGCAGCCGCGGUAAUACGUAGGUGGCAAGCGUUAUCCGGAAUUAUUGGGCGUAAAGCGCGCGUAGGCGGUUUUUUAAGUCUGAUGUGAAAGCCCACGGCUCAACCGUGGAGGGUCAUUGGAAACUGGAAAACUUGAGUGCAGAAGAGGAAAGUGGAAUUCCAUGUGUAGCGGUGAAAUGCGCAGAGAUAUGGAGGAACACCAGUGGCGAAGGCGACUUUCUGGUCUGUAACUGACGCUGAUGUGCGAAAGCGUGGGGAUCAAACAGGAUUAGAUACCCUGG
rnacentral:rRNA from 1 species